UACGUAGGUGGCAAGCGUUGUCCGGAAUUAUUGGGCGUAAAGCGCGCGCAGGCGGUCCUUUAAGUCUGAUGUGAAAUCCCUCGGCUCAACUGAGGAAUUGCCUUCGAUACUGUUCGGCUUGAGUCCUGGAGAGGGUAGCGGAAUUCCCGGUGUAGCGGUGAAAUGCGUAGAGACCGGGAAGAACACCAGUGGCGAAGGCGGCUACCUGGACAGGUACUGACGCUGAAGCGCGAAAGCUAGGGGAGCAAACAGG
rnacentral:rRNA from 1 species